CAGUCGCCGCGGUAAUACGAAGGGUGCAAGCGUUACUCGGAAUUACUGGGCGUAAAGCGUGCGUAGGUGGUGGUUUAAGUCCGUUGUGAAAGCCCUGGGCUCAACCUGGGAAUUGCAGUGGAUACUGGGUCACUAGAGUGUGGUAGAGGAUAGUGGAAUUUCCGGUGUAGCAGUGGAAUGCGUAGAGAUCGGAAGGAACAUCUGUGGCGAAGGCGACUAUCUGGGCCAACACUGACACUGAGGCACGAAAGCGUGGGGAGCAAACAGGAUUAGAUACCCGAGUAGUCCCUGUUUCUUAUAC
rnacentral:rRNA from 1 species